AAUCAAAAGCGCCGUAGGCCUCCACCUCGGCUUUACAGAUAUAUAUAUAUAUAUCGUGUAUAUAUCUGUGCGAUCGGGAUUGAGACUGAGGUUGGUCCGAGUACUUU
ensembl:ncRNA mir-4972 mir-4972 stem loop